GACGUAGGGCGCGAGCGUUUGUCCGGAUUUAUUGGGCGUAAAGAGCUCGUAGGCGGCUUGUCGCGUCGGCUGUGAAAACCCGCGGCUCAACUGCGGGUCUGCAGUCGAUACGGGCAGGCUAGAGUUCGGUAGGGGAGCGUGGAAUUCCUGGUGUAGCGGUGAAAUGCGCAGAUAUCAGGAGGAACACCAGCGGCGAAGGCGGCGCUCUGGGCCGGAACUGACGCUGAGGAGCGAAAGCGUGGGUAGCAAACAGG
rnacentral:rRNA from 1 species